UACGAAGGGGGCUAGCGUUGCUCGGAAUCACUGGGCGUAAAGGGUGCGUAGGCGGGUCUUUAAGUCAGGGGUGAAAUCCUGGAGCUCAACUCCAGAACUGCCUUUGAUACUGAAGAUCUUGAGUCCGGGAGAGGUGAGUGGAACUGCGAGUGUAGAGGUGAAAUUCGUAGAUAUUCGCAAGAACACCAGUGGCGAAGGCGGCUCACUGGCCCGGUACUGACGCUGAGGCACGAAAGCGUGGGGAUCAAACAGGAGUUAGAAUGACC
rnacentral:rRNA from 1 species